UACGUAGGGCGCGAGCGUUGUCCGGAAUUAUUGGGCGUAAAGAGCUCGUAGGCGGCCUGUUGCGUCCGCUGUGAAAUCCCGGGGCUUAACCCCGGGCGUGCAGUGGAUACGGGCUGGCUGGAGGCAGGCAGGGGAGAUCGGAAUUCCUGGUGUAGCGGUGAAAUGCGCAGAUAUCAGGAGGAACACCGGUGGCGAAGGCGGAUCUCUGGGCCGUAACUGACGCUGAGGAGCGAAAGCAUGGGGAGCGAACAGG
rnacentral:rRNA from 1 species